rnacentral:rRNA from 1 species
AACGCGUAAAUAAUCUACCCUGAUGUCUGGGAUAACCCUUCGAAAGGGGGACUAAUACCGGCUAUAUGCUACCCUGUUGGGGGUAUCAGGAAAGGUGGCCUCUAUUUAUAAGCUAUCGCAUUGGGAUGAGUUUGCGUACCAUUAGCUAGUUGGUGGGGUAAUGGCCCACCAAGGCGACGAUGGUGAGCGGGUCUGAGAGGAUGAUCCGUCACACUGGCACUGGAACACGGGCCAG